GGAGGCUGCCUUCGUGUGCCUGCGAGACUCGAGAGCCGCCUGCUGCUCCUCCCCUCUCCAGCUCUCCUCCAACUGUACCCAAACCUCUGUUCCUCGCUCGCGCCGGCCUCGGCCUCGGCCUCGGCCUCAAGCCGGCGAGCGAUGGAGCGGCGGUCCGUCCGCUUCGUGCCAGCCGAGAUUGCAAGGAUGGAGAAAUUGGCUGCAGAUAGAAACGAGCAAGUCUUUGAUAACAAGUUCUGCCAGAAGCUUGCAGAAGAAUUUAAUCGUUCUGCUGGCCGUGCUGGAAGUAAAGCGUUACAGGCUACACAGGUUCAAGGAUGGUUCCUUAAUAAGUUUCCAGCAUCAGCCACUAAACCUACUUGUGUGCCCACUGCUUGCCAAGAAAAGACUCCAGCCUCAGAAGUAAAUGUAUCAGUUUCUGAAAAAAGAUCUGCAGCUUCUGAAGAAAAACUUGUGUGCCCACUGCUUCCCAAGAAAAGUACUUCAGCCUCAGAAGUAAAUGUAUCAGUUUCUAAAAAAAGAUCUGCAGCUUCUGAAGAAAAACUUUUCCCUCCUGAUACAAGUGUUUCAAACAAUGAGGAUGAGGUUUCUCCUGUUUUUUCAUUAGAAACUAGAGAUAUGAUUCCUGAACUUGAUGACCUGGAGUUUGAAGCCAAGUCUGCAAAGGAUUCUGCCUGGUAUGACAUUGCCAUGUUCUUGGCACAUAGGACGAACAAGGCGGGUGAAGUAGAAGUCCGGGUGAGAUUCGAGGGUUUUGGGGCUGAUGAGGAUGAGUGGGUGAAUGUCAAGAAGUUCAUCCGCCAGCGUUCCAUUCCUCUGGAGUCCUCACAGUGCAAAAGCAUUGUUGAAGGAGACCUUGUCCUCUGCUUCAGGUGAUCUGAACAUCAGGAGGGAAACGACGAGGAGGGAAACGACGAGGCAUUGCAUUUCGAUGCGCAUGUUCUUGAGGUUACGCGGAAGCAGCAUGAUAUUAGGGGGUGCAGAUGUGUAUUCCUUAUUGAAUACGAUCAUGACCAAAGCCAGGAGAGGGUGAGCCUGAGAAGAUUGUCCCGGCGGCCAAAGUACUUCUGAAGGCUCCUCCUGUUAGCCUUAUGGGCGUAUCUAUCUGGAACUGGAACUAACCAGGACUUGAAACUUAGGUGAAGUUAGGGGGAUGAACUUUGUGGCAUCCUUGAUCUGAUCAUGUGUGUAGUAGCAACUGGCAUGGGCUUGCAUUUCCAACCUCUUUGGCACAGGGCUGCCCGGACUGGUUGUUGGCGGCUGAAUUUUGUAGACUUGUUACGGUGAGAAGAGGGGAGAAUACGCCUUGAGCACUUACUGUGUAUAGUGCGGUCUAUAUGCUUGCUAUUUCAUCUUCUUGCUGCAGCAUUAUCUUGUUUCUCGUGAUCCAAAGUCUGGGAGGAUUUCGCUUCUCCGUUGCCGGCUGGCGCUCAUCGCGGUGCCGAGAAGGAGGGGGCCUUUAGCUUAGGUUGGCUAGGGCCUGUGUUAUAUAGCUUCCUGGCAGAUUUGUCCACCCCACCACUGUCAUCCGGCUCUGUUUGCUUGAAUUUAUUUGUGGAAUUUGCCAGUUUACAACAAA